GUGCUUGCUACGGCGGCACAUAUACUAAAAUUGGAUCGAUACAGAGAAGAUUAGCAUGGCCCCUGCGAAUAUAGUAAGGUCUCAGCGAGGGAGCUUUAUGUU
rnacentral:snRNA from 1 species